AAUCUUCCACAAUGGACGAAAGUCUGAUGGAGCAACGCCGCGUGAGCGAAGAAGGUUUUCGGCUCGUAAAGCUCUGUUGCGAGGGAAGAACAAGUACGGGAGUAACUGCCUGUACCUGGACGGUACCUCGUCAGAAAGCCACGGCUAACUACGUGCCAGCAGCCGCGGUAAUACGUAGGUGGCAAGCGUUGUCCGGAAUUAUUGGGCGUAAAGCGCGGGCAGGCGGUCCUUUAAGUCUGAUGUGAAAGCCCACGGCUCAACCGUGGAGGGUCAUUGGAAUCGGGAGGACUUGAGUACAGAAGAGGAGAGCGGAAUUCCACGUGUAGCGGUGAAAUGCGUAGAGAUGUGGAGGAACACCAGUGGCGAAGGCGGCUUUCUGGUCUGUAACUGACGCUGAGGCGCGAAAGCGUGGGGAGCAAACA
rnacentral:rRNA from 1 species